UUGACGGGGCCGCACAAGCGGUGGAGCAUGUGUUUAAUUCGAAGCAACGCGAAGAACCUUACCAGGUCUUGACAUCCCGAUGCUAUUUCUAGAGAUAGAAAGUUACUUCGGUACAUCGGUGACAGGUGGUGCAUGGUUGUCGUCAGCUCGUGUCGUGAGAUGUUGGGUUAAGUCCCGCAACGAGCGCAACCCCUAUUGUUAGUUGCCAUCAUUCAGUUGGGCACUCUAGCGAGACUGCCGGUAAUAAACCGGAGGAAGGUGGGGAUGACGUCAAAUCAUCAUGCCCCUUAUGACCUGGGCUACACACGUGCUACAAUGGUUGGUACAACGAGUUGCGAGUCGGUGACGGCGAGCUAAUCUCUUAAAGCCAAUCUCAGUUCGGAUUGUAGGCUGCAACUCGCCUACAUGAAGUCGGAAUCGCUAGUAAUCGCGGAUCAGCACGCCGCGGUGAAUACGUUCCCGGGCCUU
rnacentral:rRNA from 1 species